GUAUAUUAUGUGAUUACAGAGUUGAGAUUUUUGUCAAUAUAAUGGUUUACUUACGUAUACAGUCAUGGGUAGAACAUUCUGUAAAUCCCAACGUGGCCUUUAGAAAAUUGUCAAUUUUUGUUGCAUGCCAUAUAUGGCAUGCAACUUUCA